rnacentral:rRNA from 1 species
UACGGGGGGAGCAAGCGUUGUUCGGAUUUACUGGGCGUAAAGGGCGCGUAGGCGGUCAGCACAAGUCAGUUGUGAAAUCUCCGGGCUUAACUCGGAAAGGUCAACUGAUACUGUGCGACUAGAGUGCAGAAGGGGCAACUGGAAUUCUCGGUGUAGCGGUGAAAUGCGUAGAUAUCGAGAGGAACACCUGCGGCGAAGGCGGCAUCCUGGACCAACAUUGACGCUGAGGCGCGAAAGCCAGGGGAGCAAACGGG